rnacentral:rRNA from 1 species
AUGAACGCUGGCGGCGUGCCUAAUCCAUGCAAGUCGAGCGAACGGACGAGAAGCUUGCUUCUCUGAUGUUAGCGGCGGACGGGUGAGUAACACGUGGAUAACCUACCUAUAAGACUGGGAUAACUUCGGGAAACCGGAGCUAAUACCGGAUAAUAUUUUGAACCGCAUGGUUCAAAAGUGAAAGACGGUCUUGCUGUCACUUAUAGAUGGAUCCGCGCUGCAUUAGCUAGUUGGUAAGGUAACGGCUUACCAAGGCAACGAUGCAUAGCCGACCUGAGAGGGUGAUCGGCCACACUGGAACUGAGACACGGUCCAGACUCCUACGGGGGGCAGCAGUAGGGAAUCUUCCGCAAUGGGCGAAAGCCUGACGGAGCAACGCCGCGUGAGUGAUGAAGGUCUUCGGAUCGUAAAACUCUGUUAUUAGGGAAGAACAUAUGUGUAAGUAACUGUGCACAUCUUGACGGUACCUAAUCAGAAAGCCACGGCUAACUACGUG